GACGAACGCUGGCGGCGUGCUUAACACAUGCAAGUCGAACGGUGAACUCCGCUUGCGGGGGGAUCAGUGGCGAACGGGUGAGUAACACGUGGGCAACCUGCCCUCAGCUCUGGGAUAACUCCAAGAAAUUGGGGCUAAUACCGGAUAUGACCGCUGACCGCAUGGUCUGGUGGUGGAAAGAUUUAUCGGUUGGGGAUGGGCCCGCGGCCUAUCAGCUUGUUGGUGGGGUAGUGGCCUACCAAGGCGACGACGGGUAGCCGGCCUGAGAGGGUGACCGGCCACACUGGGACUGAGACACGGCCCAGACUCCUACGGGAGGCAUCAGUGGGGAAUAUUGCGCAAUGGGCGAAAGCCUGACGCAGCGACGCCGCGUGGGGGAUGACGGCCUUCGGGUUGUAAACCUCUUUCAGCAGGGACGAAGCGAAAGUGACGGUACCUGCAGAAGAAGCACCGGCCAACUACGUG
rnacentral:rRNA from 1 species